rnacentral:rRNA from 1 species
UACGGAGGGGGCUAGCGUUGUUCGGAAUUACUGGGCGUAAAGCGCACGUAGGCGGCUUUGUAAGUUAGAGGUGAAAGCCCAGGGCUCAACCUGGGAAUGCCAUUCGAGACUGCAUAGCUAGGGUGCGGAAGAGGGAAGCGGAAUUUCAGGUGUAGCGGUGAAAUGCGUAGAUAUCUGAAGGAACACCAGUGGCGAAAGCGGCUUCCUGGUCCAGCACCGACGUUCAGGCACGAAAGCGUGGGGAGCAAACAGG